rnacentral:rRNA from 1 species
AUUGAACGCUGGCGGCAGGCCUAACACAUGCCAGUCGAGCGGAUGAAGGGAGCUUGCUCCUGGAUUCAGCGGCGGACGGGUGAGUAAUGCCUAGGAAUCUGCCUGGUAGUGGGGGAUAACGUCCGGAAACGGGCGCUAAUACCGCAUACGUCCUGAGGGAGAAAGUGGGGGAUCUUCGGACCUCACGCUAUCAGAUGAGCCUAGGUCGGAUUAGCUAGUUGGUGGGGUAAAGGCCUACCAAGGCGACGAUCCGUAACUGGUCUGAGAGGAUGAUCAGUCACACUGGAACUGAGACACGGUCCAGACUCCUACGGGAGGCAGCAGUGGGGAAUAUUGGACAAUGGGCGAAAGCCUGAUCCAGCCAUGCCGCGUGUGUGAAGAAGGCCUUCGGAUUGUAAAGCACUUUAAGUUGGGAGGAAGGGCAGUAAGUUAAUACCUUGCUGUUUUGACGGUACCAACAGAAUAAGCACCGGCUAACUUCGUG